ensembl:lncRNA
ACCUAGUGGGGCUGCUAGGUUGUCAGGGAGGCAUGGCACCAAGGUCACAGGGCGUGGCCAAUAAGGUCACAGGGGAGUGGGCAAUGCUUCCUCGCAUAAGUAAGCUCCAUACAACACAGUGGAGUUCAUUUCUCAAUGAAAUGAAUAGGGCUGUGGUAGGAACCACAAGUGCUUGGGAAGUUUAUUUUAAAAACUAAUCCAAGCCUUUUGUUCUUCAUUAUCAUCUCCUUUAUAAAAAAAACAGAGACAUUAACCUGAAUCUGACCUCACAUUUCAACCAGUAUUUCCUCCCUUGCCACAAGUUUCCUACACCAUCCCUUGAUGUAUCCUUUAUCUUAAGAUGGCUGCUUCUCAUUGAGAAGCAAACUUGUGUCUGGGCUAUACCUUAAGGUUACCAGAUAUUUUUCAGUGAAUCCAGGGACACUUUUCAACUUUAUUAGGAAUGAUAAGAUUUUGUCUGGGGACUGAUUUGUAAAUCCGGGGACUGUCCCCGGGAAACUGGGACGUCUGGUAACCUUACUAUACCUGCACCAUGUGGUGGUGGGCUGCCACAUGACUGAACAUGCUUUACAAAUGUUUUCCUUGCACGUCUUACAGGCAUGAAUGAGGUUCCAAUCUAUGAGACGUACAGCUUUCGUCCAGCUGGAAUGUAGCCUACUGCUCAAAGUUAAGAGUCACCAUGGUUGCUUCACCUCUGUCCCACCCCAUCUUUGCAUCUGGCCCAGCCCACCACAGCUGCACCUUGCAAAAAUCUGAUCUUGCCCAUGGAAUUGAAGCUUGGGAAGCAAAAUACCCAUUUGGAUUUUCUACGCAUCUGAUAAAUUCCCAUUCAGCAGGUAAGAUUGGAACAACGAGAAAAUCACUUGGAUCCGGGAGAAUUAAUCAUUACAUGCUACAAUCAAGUUACAGGUCAGGUGAAAGUGUGGACAAGCCCUUCAUGAGCAUCCAAUGAACUACAAAGCGGAAGAGGAGCAUUGCAUGGGUCUGUGAACUUGUUCUGCCUCAGUGCAUUGGGAAUGCCAAAUUGUAGUUUCCUCUUUGAUAUUAUUAUAAAUACUUUCAAAGUACAGUGUGGGAGUGUGGCUGACAUGCAAAAACUUCUGUCAACAGAAGGAAGAAAUCCUUACAGACAAAGGGCCAGGAUCAGCCUUCUGGGAAUGGGAGAAAUCAGUGCUCUGUGAACACAGAGUUCACUUCUAGUUUUACAGCACUCUAAGAAGUAGAUAGUCAGAGAGAUGCUAAGAGAGUAUACUUCUCUCUCUCUCUCUCUCUCACACACACACACCCCAAUCAUUACAAAACCAAAAUGGCACCACCCAGGAAAACAAAUGAUGUGACAUAAUGUUCACAGAACCUCAAGGUUUACAGAAAUAGAAAAAAGAAAUAUUGAGAAAACAAUUCCUUAGGGGAUAAAAUUGCUAAUUAGGUGCUAAUUUGCUACUAAAACAGGUUCAAGAUCCUUGGGUUAACUCACAAAACCCUAAACAACUGGGGCACAUAAGGGCUGCUGGAUUCCUUAUUCUCCACAUCAGUCCCUGGUGAGGCACUUUUAGUGGUCCCCUGAGGCUUAGUCAGGGUCCAUGUCUUUAAUGUGGCAGGUCCUGCCCUGUGGAACUCCCUGCCAAUAGAUGUCCAGCAGGAGUCAUCCUUGCUUUCUUUUAAGACUUACUUUUAAAAACAUACUGUUCAGACAGAAAUUUUGAUUUUGACAUUUUUAACAACCAGUUUUUAUUGACAUGUUACUGAAGUUUUUUUAACCAGUCAUUCUUGCAUUAUGUUUUUAUGUUGUGUGCUGCCUUGCUAUAUUUCCUAUGAAAGUGUUGUUUAUAAACUUUUAAAUAAAUUAAAUAUAUAUGGCUCUGUUCUGCUCUGUUCUGUUCUGUUCAGCUCUCCCUAAUCUGUCCCUCUAAAAUUACUCAGUCCUCCAUCUAUAAUGCAGGAGCCACAUCCAGAACCUGGAUGGCCUAAUGUUACCCUGAGUGUUUCAGCCCCAAGCACCUAGGCAUUUUCCUGGCUACAUGACUGCUUUGCGAUUGGCUGGAUAAUGCCAGCGGUCAGUCAAGACCUGAGUCCAAAACUCUUUAAAGUGGACUGUGGUCCAUAGUCUUUUUGUGUCUCAGUCCCUCAACUCACCAUCUACAUGUGAGGUGAGCUACAUGCAAGUAGCUAUGACUAGAUAGAGUUGAACUAAAAGGUGAUCUUUUGUUAUUUUCGCAAAGCAACGUUCUCCCUCUUCCAUUUGUCCUCAUCCUUUCUUUUAUUUAUUAAUAAAUGCCAUCGUUAGGGUUUUGCAUGUAUUUGUGCCAAAACUAUUGGGUUAUUCUAAGCUCUCACAUACCUAGUCACUUAGUUCAUACCGUGUGUGAGAGAGAAAGAGAGAGUGGAAUUUGGCAGAGAAAAACAAAUUACUUUGGUCUCUAGGGAGGGACAGGUAAGCUGGAUAUUAUCUUUGCUUCCCAAUGUAACUAUCUCCCCAGAAAGCACUCCCACUUGGUGUUCGAGGGCAGCCUCCUUCAUAGCCUCUGGCAUGACUGGUCUACCCUCACCAGACGUUGUGGAAGGAAGGGAGUACACACACACCAAAAACCAGAAAAUGGAAAUGCCUUGUGUCAGGGCUGCCUCAGGUCCCAGCUCACAAGAGACCAACGCCAAGUCCACUUUAUUUACAAAAGUCUUUAUUGAAGUACAUUGUUUGUUCCACAGCCGAGGCGCGCAGCCCCACGUCUGUUACGCUUAGACCGCUGAAGUCCCCUCUGAAUCAGUCCCGCCUCCACACCAGUUUAAGAGGCUUCUGCUGGUCCACCUCUUCCUGUCCUUCCUUUUCCGCAGGGUCUUUCUGCCCCCCUGGGUUCCGUCCCUCCUGCUUUCCCCUGACGCUGAGUCCCCAGACGCCUGUUCCCCCCUCCUCCGUGCUUUGGGACCAGGCUCCUCCUCCAGGCUCUCCGCAUUUCCGCGCGCCUCCACAUUUGAACUUGGCGCGCGUUCGCUACCC